AAGUAGGGCAAUCUGUCUUUAAGUAGGGGGAAAUGAAAAGAAAUGAAUCCUUCCCCAAAUAAAGAAUUAAAUAAAUCCUAGAUACUUUCCCCUUCAUGUCAAGUGUCUUGU
rnacentral:pre_miRNA from 1 species